CAUUCAUUCAAUAGAGAAUUUUCAGCAAAAAAGAGAAGAAUCCCGAAACUCUUCUCCAUUUUUCACCCAAAUCUUACAAAUGCCAUAACUUCCUCGUUUCUCAACGAAAUUUAGCGAUUCUUGCGGCCACGGAACGAGGAAACGAUUAUCUACAGAUCUAUGGAUUCAAUUUGAGGUGUUUAUAAGCUUGAAUUGGAGCAAAUUGAUGGUGAAUUUUGGAAGCUAAACUUUUGAUGAUGAAAAAUACCAAUCAAGAUCGGACGAGCGACUAUCGACAAGGUUUGAGGCAAACGGAUCGAGAUAUCGUCAUAAUUAUUUGAAGAAUUUGGAUAGCAAGUGGUGAGUACACUUUGAAAUACUAUAUGGGUUAUAAGGCAAACCGGUUUUUGAUUUGUGAAUCGGAAAUUUAAAUUCUUUAAAGCGGAAAAUAGAAUUUAAAGACACAAGAGAUUUAGAGUGGUUCGGAUCAACUCACGAUCCUACUCCACUACUCAAUCUAAGAUUGAGAUUUUAGAAUCCACUAAAUGGGAUUGUGCUUUAUAGAUAAGCACCAACUUUACAAAGAGAUUUCUUAGAGAUAAUCUCAAACUCACAAUUGAUUUUUCAAGGAUAAUCAAGAACCUACAAGGGUUGAGUUUUUCCAAAGCUAAACUCUAACUCACAAUGAUUAGGAGUUUCCAAGAUUACUCCAAAACUACAACAAAACUAAGUGAUUUAAAAAUGUAUGUUUGUUGUUUCAAGGUGUGUAAAUCAUUAACCUUGAAACCUUGCAAAUGGGUUUAUAUUUAUACCCAAAGCAAUCCCCAAACAAAGCACUAACAAACAAAACAAAAAAAUGAUCUCUGCACACAUAUCGCCCCCGUGAUGCAUGGAUCACGGGCGAGAUAUUUGAAUGAGACAAAAACCUUCAAUGGCUAGAGCCACGUGUCAAUGCUUCAUUGGGUCUUCAAAAAUGUAUCCGUUGGAUCUUCAACGGUCUCAUUUAUCGCGCCCGAGAUGUGUUCGUCGCGCCCGUGAUUCGUUCCAACGGUCGACUAGGGUUUUGUCAGCUCGAAUAUCGCCCCCGUGAUAUUUGCGUCGCCCCCGUGAUAUAUAUCGCCCCCGAGAUGGAAAUCCAUCACGGGCGAGAUAUGCUACUGGACAGCUUUCUACUCAAAAACACGAUUUUUGCUAGAGAGCUCCGAAUUGACUUCCGAUUGUUCCUAUACACUAAUAAACAUGAUUAGAUCACUCAUAGUUGAUUGUCAAAGUCAAAACAAAAGGAGUUUGAAAGGACAAAGGUCCAACAAUCUCCCCCUUUUUGAGUUUGACAAUCAACAUGCUAAAAUGACUAAGUUAAGUAAGAGUCAAAUUGAUUUUGGCUCCCCCUCACUUUAUGCACAAAGGAUAUAAGCAAUUUAUAAUGCAUAAGCAAGAAAUUUUGAAAAAAAUACUUAGUAAUUUGAGCAUGGAAACUUCUCCCCCUUUGUCAAGCACAAAAAGAAUCAAAGCAUGUAUAAAACAUAGACAAAGGAGCUAAUUGA